GGAAUAUUGGGCAAUGGACGGAAGUCUGACCCAGCCAUGCCGCGUGAAGGAAGAAGGCCUUCUGGGUUGUAAACUUCUUUUGUAAGGGAAGAAAAAGGGCGUGCGCGCCAAACUGACGGUACCUUACGAAUAAGCACCGGCUAACUCCGUGCCAGCAGCCGCGGUAAUACGGAGGGUGCAAGCGUUGUCCGGAUUUAUUGGGUUUAAAGGGUGCGUAGGCGGCCCUGUAAGUCAGUGGUGAAAGCCGACAGCUUAACUGUCGAACUGCCAUUGAUACUGCAGGGCUUGAGUACAAACGAGGUAGGCGGAAUUGAUUGUGUAGCGGUGAAAUGCAUAGAUACAAUCAAGAACACCGAUUGCGAAGGCAGCUUACUAGAUUGUAACUGACGCUGAGGCACGAAAGCGUGGGGAGCGAA
rnacentral:rRNA from 1 species